AAAUUAGUCCCUGUCUUUGUCUCGCCGUCUGAUCUAAGUCCCUCGCCGGAAAAAUUUGUGCAAAAGGUCCUCAUCAUUGCAAAAUGUAUGGAGCCGGUCCUCGCCGGAGCCCGGAGCUCCGACGAGUGAUGAUAUGACCUGCUGACUGUGUUAAUAAAACUUACAUGGAUUUAAAAUAAAAAAUAAAAAAUACCACAUCAGAAAAUUAAAUUAAUUUAACAAAAAAUAAAAUAAAUUAAGAAUCUAACCCUAAAUUAAUUAACAAAAUCAAAUCCAUCUUCUUCUUUCAUCUUUCCAGAACCUACUUUUCUUCUUCCUUCUUCCAAAACCCAUCAUCAUCUCUUAACACCAAACCAAAGCCUUCUCCACCGCCGGCCAAACCACCCCCCAUGGCAACCUUAAGAACUCGAAAUAGCAUGGUUCGAUUCGUGUUCAUUUGGUCUUGAUCUGGGUUCGGGUAAGACUGGGUCUUGCUUCAGUUUGGGCUUGGGUGGUUGUUAGGCUUCAAGAGGUCGAUAUGGGUUUUUCUUUGUUCGUCGGCGGCUCUGGGUUCUUCUGGUUUUGUUCCCUUAAUUCUUCUUCUUCUUCUUCUUAACUGAUGGAAGCACAGUGGUCAUGGUGAUAGACUCUGUUGACGGCGACGAGAAAGCUUGAGGGAGGGCUUCGAUUUGUUCCUGAGACAGAACAGUGGAAACGGUGGCAUCGAUUUGUUCCUGAGGUUUGGGUUGUUUGUAAAUUGGGGAUUAGGGUUUAUUUGAUUUUGAUGUCCUGGAUGUUUUGCUCUGGAAAUUCUGGGUUGAAAUUGGGGGUGGGGUUGGUGCUGGAUAGGAGAUCGAAAAUGAGCGAACAACUUGAAGAGAUGGCCAAGUCGAAGAAUCACACCGCCACACUUCCACCAAAGGAUGGAUCCAAAUAUUUUGAGGAAUUAGAGUUACGCUAGGAAGCAUAACAAGAAGAGUGCUGAAUCUGCCACCGAGAAGAAUAAAUUGCUUGUCACUAAUGGAGCUAUUCUCAACUUAAAUUUCCUAUUUAGGCUUUAUAUGUUUUGUUUCAAACCUAUCUCUGUAUUAUAGUCAUUUUCAUGGUUAGUUCUGAAUUCAGACAGAAUGGUUGCUUUGAUCUGUUUCAUUGAAGGCAUUAAAUUUUUUCUGGGUA